rfam:Gossypium arboreum cultivar AKA8401 contig_15727_1, whole genome shotgun sequence.
GUAGAUGAUGAAGUAUGCACUGGGCUCUGAGGUGACUUCAAAUGAAAUACACUUAAUUUGAUGGAAAUUGCAGCCUAGAAAGCUAGUCUGAUAC